AAAGUAAAGCUAUUGAAAUUAUGGACAGGACUUAGGUUCAUUCGUUCCAAUGGGUCUACUCGGAGUAGGACUUCAUUGCCUAUAACCCUAUUUUCAAAUUUAAUUUAUUAACUUAAAAGAACAAGAUUGGCUUAUAUUCAUCAUGUGGCGUUGACCAUUGCUGUGGGCCUGAAACUGACUUUGAAAAGCAGCUUUUGACUGUUGCACUAUUGUUUGAAAGUGCCAGCACAGUCUUGACCAAAAGACCAAGUCCCAGAAAUGCAGGUUCGUGUUUUGCAAGCUCAUCCGCAGAUCGUACCAAAUAUAUUUCUUUAAUAAGGAGUUUUGCCAACUUAAGCUUGGGUUUCAAGUUUCCUAGCUUUUUGCAGUUGUCUGGCUAAUGUUUCAAUAUUUCAGAUAGUUGAUUCAAAUUAUCCUCAUUCCCAUACUGGAGCAAAUGCUUGCAAGCUGCUAUUAUAACAGAAUUGUCUCUCCCUGAAUCUGUUUUCCAAUUCGUGAGUGCAACGGUCAAUAACACUGUUUUAUAUAUAUAUAUAUAUUUUAAAUAAUAUUUAUUAAUAAUUUCAGAAUUACAAAAAAGAGAAAAAAAUAAAGAACAACACUGCAAUACAUAAAAAGAAAAAACGCAAAACAUAAAAACCAAUACAACAAUACAGCAAAAAAGAAAGUAAAAAAAGGAAGGGAAAAAACACACAAAUCCCACAUUACAUAUCUUCAACUUCCAUUUGCUUGUUUCAUUGACCUCCUCACACCUCCCUUUUUGUAUUCUAGUUUAGUUAGUUAUUUCAGCAAAUUCUUUCCAUCUUUCUCCAUUUUUGUUAAAUAAUUUAUCUUCGCAAUUUAACCUAUUAAUUAACUCGACAGAUCCUUUCCAUCUUUCCCCAUAUUCUGUUAUUCAAAUUACCCUAAUUUAUUUAACCUUAUCUUACCAUAAAAUACCUUAAAGCUUAAAACUUAAUACUCAGUUAUACAUGACUCCUGAUGUCAUUUCUGCUAGAGUCAUAUAGUUUCAUUCCCACAUUUUCCCCAAUAUUCAUUAAUUUUAGGCUAAUUCCCUAAAUAAAAAAUUUUCUUUAUAAAUUUUCUUCCAAUCUUCAUCCAACGUCUCUUCUUCCUGGUCUUGGGUCGUGUCAGUCCUUACUGUCCAUUCCAUCUAGUCCAUCAACCUGGAAGUCUUAUGUCCGAGGCCCUUAAGUCUCUUCCAUGUCCCUUCUGCAGAUCUUCUUCUUCUUGUUUAUACUUGCCCUUUUCCUUGUCUUUUGUUGGUCUCUUUCUUAAUUUCUUUCCUUUCUCAUUGAGGAGUAGGUCUCUGGGGGAUUCCAACCCAAAAUUGUCUCCAUCUCCCUUCAUCAAACCCACCCAUUCCCCACAGUCCCACUCCCCACAGUCAUCAAUGUAAUCCAAAAAGUAUUUUAAAGCAUAUUUCAAGGUCUCUCCAAAGUUAAGAACCUCCUCAGCUCCAGACUCCCCUGGCCCGCUCCAACUUCAAUCUUCAAUGACAGCGGCUUAUGCUCCUGUAGGGCCUCGGGUCUCUCCAUUUGUAUUAUUUGAGGUGCAACCGCAUCCUCCUCCAUUAUCUUCUGCACUUGCCCAGUCAGUACAGGUUCAUGAGUUGGUCCCUGAAUGGUUUCUGUAUCAAUGUUCCCUGUUCGUCCACAGUUAUUGACCACAACAGUCAUCAAGUCCAUUUUCUCAUUCAUCAAAUCCAUCUUCUCGUGCAUCUGUUCCAGCAAGGCACUUGUCUUGCAUAAAGCAAGCACCCAAACUUCCUCCCAGCUCAUCUUUAGUCAAGGUCAGAAAAGACUGGUCCCACGAUCUUAAUCUCACAGCUGUUGAGUCCUCAAGUAGACUGCAGCAACAAUUUAACAAGCUCCCUCUAGAGGAGACAAUUUCUAUUUGUAUCCAUUUUUUUUAAGGCAAGUCCAACAAAGGAAAAUUACUUUCAUUUUUCAGAUAUUUUUCAGAUAUUUUGUUUCUUUAGAAUGCAAAAGGCAACAUUGGAAUCAGUUUAUUUCUCUUCUUUAGCUAUCUGUCAAAGUAUUCCAUUCACAGUCAAUGAACCUCUCCAACUAUUUCUGUCUCUGACACCCCGUUCCCAGGUUCGAGACGGCAGAAACUUAUCCUUCUUCACUCCCUCUCCUGCAGGGGUUAAACAAAGUCCCCCCCCUUUUCUCCUGCUUCCAAGGGGGUUUCAGUAAUUAUAAAUGAAGGAAAUUUAGACUUUUUUAAUGGCUUUCCAGGCGUUAGCUUCCAUGGUUUUUGCGUUAGUCUCUAUACCAAAAGCGGAAGGCGGACUUCCUGUUUUGAACCUUCCCGCUUCGAUGCCAAAUUAAGAUAUUUCUUGAUCCAAUUUUCCGUUUCUACUCACAGGUACUUGUUUUAAAUCCAAUUGUCCACAGGAAAAAGUCAGCGCUCUCCGGCAAUGGCUGUGCGGCUUCACUCCGUGAAAGUAGCAAUCAGUUCGCAGCACCGCACCGCUCACCCCACUUCGCUCCAGCGCCCCAAAAUGGGGUUCCCGGUGAGUGGGGGGGCGCUCCUGGUGCCCUGCCAAACCCCACGUUCCCAGGCUUCCUCCGCCUGGGAUUUCUAGCGGGUCCCCACCUUCGCCACGGCGGGAAGACCCAGUUUCCACGGAGCCUGUUCCUCCGGUCGGAGGAACUCCGCCAGUCACCGAUGGCGCUGACCCGGAAGUCAAUAACACUGUUAUAAGGCCUUCUCACUAAGGUUCAUUUUCACUACUUCUUUCAAAAUUAAUAGCAUCACUGUUAACAAUACUGUCAGAAAACCUCUGUGGGAAUUAACAAAGUCGUUCUGAUGGUGCUUCAUGUUCAGCAGAUUCAUAUGCUUCAACAAAAGUGCUGAAAACAAUUAUUUCACAUUUCUUGCAAAUGCCCCUGAUCCAUUUAAAUGCUGUUUCAAUAUUCAUAUUCUUCUGGUGCAGUAGUGAUGUUACAACUUUAAUAUAUUCCCAGGACGUUUAGCAUAAUUUCAGUAAGAAUCACUGUAAAGGACUACAGAUCCAAUCAAACAAUCCAAUAGUUUGUUUUUAUUUGGCCAAAGUUUUUACAAGGGAAGGAUGCACUGAUCAAUUUGCAGUUUUAAAUUCACCUCAGUAUCUCAGUAAAGCCAGAUGAAUUUCUUGUUAAUAUCUUAGUGGUACAUUGUGGGGGUCAGGUGGGAUAGCUAUGAGGAAUUAUGAAAAAUGAAGCAAGCUAUUGUGUCAGCAACGAAAGCAUUGCUUUGACUGGGUUUGAGCCAUUGACAAUAAUUUCUGAUAGCAAUCCCACCUGACUCCCACAGUGCAUUCUCUUUCCAAAGCAGCAGUGGGCCUGCUGACAGAUGAAGGGUUAGAUUCAGUGCUGUUUUUGUCUGGUAAAAGCACUACCACAUUGCCUCUGACAGGAGUUGCUGUUCUAGAUUUAUUUCCUGCUCAAAUACAGCCACAACACAUGGCUAAUGAAUAUAGUAAAUGUGCUAUUAUUAGUAGUAGAAUGUCAUCCAAAAUUUACAAUUCAGUAACUUCAAAAUAAUAUAUAUAUCAGUCCAUAACCAAGUAGUCAAUGAAAUGAAUUGCUGGUGGGGAACACCACGACGUCUUUCAAUGGAUGAUGUCUAAGACAGUAUAUCCAGAUUGAAUCAACUGUUUCGAAGAUGAAUCUUCAUCAGCAAAUAGUUUUUGAUAGAAUAUCCAUACAGGUAAAUGUAAUACUUGUGGAUCAGAACUCACUAACCAGUGUAGCUAACCAGCAAUUCAUUUCAUUUUGGAUGACAUUCUACUACUAAUAAUAACACAUUUACUAUAUUCAUUAGCCAUUACAGGUUAUUCUGUAUUGCAACACAGGGGUUUGUUUUUGUCACUAGAUGUAUUUCCAGCAGAGAAACUUACAAUUGAUGUUUGCUUUGAAGUCCUGAUGAUGAUAAUAAUAAUAAUAGUGGUGGUGGUGAACUGAAGAUCUGCAUUUCCUCCCAGCCUGGGGAAGAUAUAACUCAAUCUAUCUCCUGCCUCCCCACACCCUGUCUAGCAAGGCACAGAAUCACACACCGUAGCCAAGAGUUGAAAAAAUACAAUUUGCUUAUGAGGUAAUUGACUGCUUCAGUUAAUUGACUUAUUCCGACCCACAGCAAGCAGAGACUACUGAAUCCCACCUCACCACUAGUGAUUGCUCUGGAUGGAUAUCAUAGCAAUGGAUAUCAUAGCCAUCGGGUCUGUUUGCUAUUUCAUCAGCCAGAUAGGACAGUUGUGUUUGAGCUCGAGUCCCUGAUUGGUAAAUUUAGAUACAUAAGAACACACCAGGCCUGAUAAUAUGCCCUCCAUUUUAAUCUCUGCCUGCUGACCCUUCUCACAUGAUUUUUCAUGGUAAGCAAAUUCCACUGCAGCAGCAACACCCCCACCCCCACCACCAAGUAAAAUAGCAUGGAAACACAAGUGGCAGUUUUAAAAGCUUCUCAAAAUGAUCUCCUUUUUUUAAAAAAAAAUCUAUUCAUUUCUCCCCACAAUAUAGUCAAAUUACAACUACAAAAAACUGGAGGUGGAUUGAAUAAGUAGAAUAGAGUCUUCUCUUAAAAGUAAUUCUUAGUCCUUACUACCCUCAGUAGCUCCUCCCAGCUCACGUGGGAUCUUUCCUUUCUCAUCCCAGCUUCUCAUACUGGGAACCAACCUUUUCUUAUCUCUUCCCCCGGGUCCUCUAUCAACCAUGUACCACCCCCCAAACAUUGGACUCCAAAGAAAGAAAAAGAAGAGAAACGAAGACGGGAAACAGAAAACGGAAUGGGACUAUAAAAAGGAGAGGGAGAGAGCAAGAGAAAGAAACAUUAGAAAAAGAUGCAAAAAGAAAACUUUUGAUUUUCCAUCUGCCGGUUUCAUAAUUUUUUUUAAAAAAAUAUUACUUAAA
rnacentral:lncRNA from 1 species